rnacentral:rRNA from 1 species
AGGAUGAACGCUGGCGGCGUGCCUAACACAUGCAAGUCGAACGUCCUACGCAAGUAGGGAGUGGCGGACGGGUGAGUACCACGUGGGCAAUCUACCUUUCGGUGAGGAAUACCGGCGAGAAAUCGCCGACAAUACCGCAUACGUUUCGCAAGAAACAAAGGCGCAAGUCGCCUGUGGAGGAGCCUGCGUCCGAUUAGCUAGUUGGUGGGGUAACGGCCUACCAAGGCGACGAUCGGUAGCUGGUCUGAGAGGAUGAUCAGCCACACUGGGACUGAGACACGGCCCAGACUCCUACGGGAGGCAGCAGUGGGGAAUAUUGGACAAUGGGCGCAAGCCUGAUCCAGCAAUGCCGCGUGGGUGAAGAAGGUCUUCGGAUUGUAAAGCCCUUUCGGCGGGACGAUGAUGACGGUACCCGCAGAAGAAGCCCCGGCUAACUUCGUGCCAGCAGCCGC